rnacentral:lncRNA from 1 species
UUUUAAAAGCUCUCUCUGCUCUAAUGUACAGAAGUACUUCAGUCUCUUGCUUGCUGGGAUUUGAAGAGGAUUGCAGGCUCUGAAGCUCUUGCCUGUUUGGAUGCUGCAGUCUCAGUGAUGCCUUUGACUUGUAGAUAAAUGCAGUUGUCAGCCCUUCAGUGUCACAAUUUGCAGCAACAGGAGGAGCAAAUCAGAGCAAAACCACAUUUUAAAUUCUCAGAAUCUUAAUCAACUGGAAUUCUUGUUCUGAGGAAGAAUCUAGAAAUAUGAAUAUCAUUUGGAGAGGAAGAUGGGAUCCAGCUGUUAAGCCAGGGCUGAUCCACACCCAGGUGACUCAUCAGGGGAAAAACAGAUCUUCCUCAUGUUCUAUUCAGGUGAGGCAGGGAUUAUUUUGGGGUACGAG